AUGUGGAUAGGCAGCGCCACUGCCGCCUCCGCCUCUGACGUGCUGAGGCACUACGGGCGGUGCUACUGGGAGCUCUCCAAAGCCCGCCUUAGGUGCACUGUCGCCUCCGCCUCCAACGUGCUGCGCCACUACGGGCGGUGCUACUGGGAGCUCUCCAAAGCCCGCCUCAGUGCACUUGUUUUGGCAACAUCGGGGGCUGGAUAUGUGCUCGGGAGUGGCAGCAUUGUAGACAUUGCUGGACUUUGCUACACAUGCACUGGUACCAUGAUGGUUGCAGCAUCUGCCAACACUUUCAACCAGGUGUUCGAGGUAAAGAAUGAUGCUAAAAUGAAAAGGACAAUGCGACGGCCCCUACCAUCAGGGCGUAUUAGUCCUGUGCAUGCUGCCAUGUGGGCUACAAGUGUCGGAGCUGCAGGAACAACAUUAUUGGUUUGCAAGGCUAAUUACUUAGCUGCUGGGCUUGCAGCAUCCAAUCUCAUCAUGUAUGCAUUUGUAUACACUCCACUGAAGCAAAUACACCAUGUCAAUACAUGGGUGUACCGAAUGCUCUCUUUUGCUGAUCCUAGUGGUAAAAGAACUGCAUGGGUAUCACUCAAGAAUUGCCUCUAUAUGUUGCCGUUGGGUUACUUGCAUAUAAGUGUAAGUAGGGGUCUAACAUCUGGAUGGUUCUGUUUUGAAGCAUCACUUCUAACGACGGGCCUUACCAUUGGAGCUUUAUCAUUUGUACUGGAUCCUACUCACAAGAGUGCAAGAAGAAUGUUCCAUGGUAGCCUUUUGUAUCUUCCUGCUUUAAUGGCUGGACUUAUAUUGCAUCGGCUGCCUAACCAAUGA
rnacentral:rRNA from 1 species